AGUGGUUAUUGCGAAGAGGGUGCAUCCGUUCCCAUCCCGAACACAGUAGUUAAGCUCUUCAGCUCCAACGAUACUCUAGGAGCGCAACCCCAUGAAAAAUUAGGACACUGCU
rnacentral:rRNA from 1 species